CUAGAAAUUUAUAAAUUUCCUUUAUAAUAGUCCUAUAUACAAUGUAAAAAUAUUAUAAGAAGUAUAAUCUGGAUUAUAUCACAUAUAAUCCAUUUUUCUCCGUGUUAGAUUUAAAAUUAAACUUUUACAUUAAUUAAAUUUUUCAAAAAGAAAUAUCAGUUACAUGAUUUUUAAAUAUACCAGAGAUAGCUUCCUCCUCAAAAAGGCUUUCUUCCAAUUUAGUAAACUUUUCCAGUCAGCGACGGAUGCAAGUGCGAACACUGAAAUUUGGACUUUGUCGAUCUUGGGAGGAAAUGAGACCAACUUUUCUUGCACACCGACUUCGUAUUAUAAGACUUCGUAUUAGCUUUGGAACAUUUUAGACCAUUUGAGAAGAUGCUUUUAGGAUGAGGAAAAUGGAAUUAUUCUUCGAAUUCUCUUAAUGACAUGUGCUGUACAUACAAUGAAAAUGUUAUUCACGUAUUUUCUGCGGCGAGUCAGUGGCUGAACACGUACGACAAAUUGAAAUUAAAGGACAUGCAUUGCACGUCUAAUGCAAAACUCAAUGGACGCGACGAUUUCUGUUGAAUUUAGAGGAUUUUGCGGCAAUUCCACGCGUAGAAUUCUGUCUUAAUGGGCUUUUAAUGGGCUGCAGAUGUAGAGAGCAAUCGUUAGUAUUUGAUAAGGAAGGAAGUGGAGUGUACUGAUAUAAUUCCUAUCCAUUACCGUAACAAGAAGCAGAUUAAAAUUCAUUAUUCCCGUUCUACACUGAAGGGCAGAGUCCCACGACAGCGUGGCAAGACAAAAAUAAAUGGUAAAUAAAUGUUCAGACUGAUCAAACACAUUUAACAAAAUUAGUAACAGAUUAAUAUAUAACACUGAAGGGCAGAAUCUCACGACAGUAUUAUAAGUAAACUGUAAUAAAUAAAUGAAUAACCAAUACUAAAGGGCAGAAACUCACAACAGUGUAGCAAAUAAAAAGAAAUAAAACAAUUAAAUAUAAUAAUACGAACAAGUAGAUGAUGAAGAGAAAAGGACACUUAAUACUUAUUUCAAAGAUAAGAACAUCCGCAAAGGUUGAAGGGUAGUCCCAAACUGAGAGUCCUACUCGUCAGGUCAGUGACCCGUUAGAAAAAUAGAGUGGGGCAGCUACCCCCUAUUGUGAAUCCAAAGUAAUUGAAAAAUAAGGUUGACUUCAAUAACCGAACCUUACACUUUUUUGAGAAUUAAAUACUUCCCGAGUUCUUAAAAUAAUUAUUGGAAUAUUGUGACUGUAGAUAAUUUGGUGUUCUGUUUUACCGGCAGCGGAUAACUGCAAUCUGUAAUUUAAUGAUUCACUUGGGACUCACUAGAUAAGAGAAGGCGCUGAUGACGCCUGGUUAACAGUUUUGUCAUUUAAUAAAAUCUCGUUUUGAUUGAACUUCCAGGCAACAAAUUAUAAAAAAGUUCGCGGUUUUUUCAAAAAUGAAUUAAUGGAAAUAGCAUUUUUGAAAUGCAUUUUUGCAUAAAAAAUAACAAGGCUAAAGGCCUGUCUGCUUAAUUGAAUUUUAUUAAAUUCCUUCCUGCGCUUAUGUAAAUUCGUAGAAUAAAUAAAUACACAAUGUGUAUAAAUCGCGUGCUACGUUAUGAAACAUAUGUUUAGAGGAGCUGAUAUCAAGUUUAUAUCAACGACCUUAUUACAAACUACACCCUUUUCCUUAGUCAUUAUAUGUUUUCCUGAAAUACGAAGCUAACUCCAGGAAGCACCAUAAAAGAUAAAAUCAAUUGACCUCUUCUUUUUCAGUAUAUCAUGUUUAGUCUUAAUAUUGACGUUACCAAAUAUGGUCAUCUGUGUUUUCCACUGGGUCCUACUUGCUAGGACUUAAAAAUUUAAUCAAUAAAUGCGUCUUGACCCAAAAAGUAAUAAAAUUAGAUGGUGUGAGGUAUAGUAUAAAAGGAGGCACCCUUGCCGAAUUAGUCAGUCCAGUAGUCACCUUCAAAUCAGAAUUCUACGACUCCAGUUCCAAAAAUCUCUUCAAGUACCAAGUGCAUUCUUCAAGUCUCAAUCAAGUUCAUUCAAGGAGAAUUCAUUCCAGGAGAUAAUUUCUAAUGCGAGGCACAUUUCUAUUU